CCUACGGGAGGCAGCAGUAGGGAAUAUUGGGCAAUGGAGGCAACUCUGACCCAGCCAUGCCGCGUGCAGGAAGACGGUCCUCUGGAUUGUAAACUGCUUUUGAAUGGGAAGAAUGUGCUCCUUGCGAGGGGUAAUGACGGUACCAUUAGAAUAAGCCACGGCUAACUACGUGCCAGCAGCCGCGGUAAUACGUAGGUGGCGAGCGUUAUCCGGAUUUAUUGGGUUUAAAGGGUGCGUAGGCGGCUUAAUAAGUCGGUGGUUAAAAGUAGCAGCUUAACUGUUUUACAUGCCAUCGAUACUGUUGAGCUUGAGAUAUUUGGAGGCAGCUAGAAUUUCCGGUGUAGCGGUGAAAUGCAUAGAUACCGGAAGGAAUACCAAUUGCGAAGGCAGGUUGCUACGAAUAAACUGACGCUGAUGCACGAAAGCGUGGGGAUCAAACAGGAUUAGAUACCCUGGUAGUCCACGCCGUAAACGAUGAUUACUAGUUGUUGGGGUUUAAGCCUCAGUGACCAAGGGAAACCGAUAAGUAAUCCACCUGGGGAGUACGCCGGCAACGGUGAAACGUCAAAUGAAUUGACGG
rnacentral:rRNA from 1 species